GGACGGCUCAUUAUAUCAGUUAGAUUUUCUAUGGUAAUGUAAUUAAUUAGGUGGAUAACCGAGGUAAUUCUUUGGCUAAUACAUGGGUAAAAGUUCAACUGCUUUACGGCAGACGAACUGCACUUAUUAGAUUUAAACCAAUCAUGGUAACAUGUUGAAUGAUGAUUCAUAAUAAUUAAGCGAAUCGCAGUGUCUUUAUGACGGCGAUAAACCUUGAACUUUCUGCCCUAUCAGUUGUCGAUUGUAGGGUAGUGGCCUACAAUGACUUUAACGGGUGACGGAGAAUUGGGGUUCGAUUCCGGAGAGGAGGCCUUAGAGACGGCCACCACAUCCAAGGAAGGCAGCAGGCGCGCAAAUUACCCAAUGGUGGAAUGCCGAGGUAGUGACAAUUAAUAUUAUCGCAGAGCCAAUUUUGGUUUUGUUAUGAAAUGAGGGCAAACUAAACCCCACACCGAGGAUCUAUUGGAGGGCAAGUCUGGUGCCAGCAGCCGCGGUAAUCCAGCUGCAGUAGAAUCCAUAAAAGUUGUUGCAGUUAAAAAAGCU
rnacentral:rRNA from 1 species